rnacentral:rRNA from 1 species
AGCGAACGCUGGCGGCAGGCCUAACACAUGCAAGUCGAACGAACCUUUCGGGGUUAGUGGCGGACGGGUGAGUAACACGUGGGAACGUGCCUUUAGGUUCGGAAUAACUCAGGGAAACUUGUGCUAAUACCGAAUGUGCCCUUCGGGGGAAAGAUUAAUCGCCUUUAGAGCGGCCCGCGUCUGAUUAGCUAGUUGGUUGAGGUAAUGGCUCACCAAGGCGACGCUCAGUAGCUGGUCUGAGAGGAUGAUCAGCCACAGUGGGACUGAGACACGGCCCAAACUCCUACGGGAGGCAGCAGUGGGGAAUCUUGCGCAAUGGGCGAAAGCCUGACGCAGCCAUGCCGCGUGAAUGAUGAAGGUCUUAGGAUUGUAAAAUUCUUUCACCGGGGACGAUAAUGACGGUACCCGGAGAAGAAGCCCCGGCUAACUUCGUG